ACUCCUACGGGAGGCAGCAGUGGGGAAUAUUGCACAAUGGGCGCAAGCCUGAUGCAGCAACGCCGUGUGAGUGAAGAAGGUUUUCGGAUCGUAAACUCUGUCCUAAGGGAAGAAACAAAUGACGGUACCUUAGGAGGAAGCCCCGGCUAACUACGUGCCAGCAGCCGCGGUAAUACGUAGGGGGCAAGCGUUUAUCCGGAAUCACUGGGCGUAAAGGGUGCGUAGGCGGCUUAGCAAGCCAGGGGUGAAAGGCAUUGGCUCAACCAAUGUAAGCCUUUGGAACUGUUAAGCUUGAGUGCAGGAGAGGUAAGUGGAAUUCCUAGUGUAGAGGUGAAAUUCGUAGAUAUUAGGAGGAACACCAGUGGCGAAGGCGACUUACUGGACUGUAACUGACGCUGAUGCACGAAAGCGU
rnacentral:rRNA from 1 species